GGGUGAGUAACGCGUAUGCAACCUGCCCGUUUCAGCGGGAUAACCCGGAGAAAUCCGGCCUAAUACCGCAUGUGGCCGAGGGGAGGCAUCUUCUUUCGGCCAAAGGAGGCGACUCCGGAGACGGAUGGGCAUGCGUGACAUUAGCUUGUUGGCGGGGUAACGGCCCACCAAGGCGACGAUGUCUAGGGGUUCUGAGAGGAAGGUCCCCCACACUGGUACUGAGACACGGGCCAGACUCCUACGGGAGGCAGCAGUGAGGAAUAUUGGUCAAUGGGCGAGAGCCUGAACCAGCCAAGUCGCGUGAAGGAUGACGGCCCUAUGGGUUGUAAACUUCUUUUGUCAGGGAGCAAUUGGGUCCACGCGUGGGCUUAGCGAGAGUACCUGAAGAAAAAGCAUCGGCUAACUCCGUGCCAGCAGCCGCGGUAAUACGGAGGAUGCGAGCGUUAUCCGGAUUUAUUGGGUUUAAAGGGUGCGUAGGCGGAAUAUCAAGUCAGCGGUAAAAAUUCGGGGCUCAACCCCGUCGUGCCGUUGAAACUGAUGUUCUUGAGUGGGCGAGAAGUAUGCGGAAUGCGUGGUGUAGCGGUGAAAUGCAUAGAUAUCACGCAGAACUCCGAUUGCGAAGGCAGCAUACCGGCGCCCAACUGACGCUGAAGCACGAAAGCGUGGGUAUCGAACAGGAUUAGAUACCCUGGUAGUCCACGCAGUAAACGAU
rnacentral:rRNA from 1 species